UGGGGAAUAUUGGACAAUGGGCGAAAGCCUGAUCCAGCCAUGCCGCGUGUGUGAAGAAGGUCUUCGGAUUGUAAAGCACUUUAAGUUGGGAGGAAGGGCAGUAAGCGAAUACCUUGCUGUUUUGACGUUACCGACAGAAUAAGCACCGGCUAACUCUGUGCCAGCAGCCGCGGUAAUACAGAGGGUGCAAGCGUUAAUCGGAAUUACUGGGCGUAAAGCGCGCGUAGGUGGUUCGUUAAGUUGAAUGUGAAAGCCCCGGGCUCAACCUGGGAACUGCAUCCAAAACUGGCGAGCUAGAGUAGGGCAGAAGGUGGUGGAAUUUCCUGUGUAGCGGUGAAAUGCGUAGAUAUAGGAAGGAACACCAGUGGCGAAGGCGACCACCUGGGCUCAUACUGACACUGAGGUGCGAAAGCGUGGGGGGCAAACAGG
rnacentral:rRNA from 1 species